UGAUAUUCAUGCAUGAUAAAACCAAUACAUGUGAAAAGAGGCUGAUUGGUUUUAUUAAACUGACUAUAAUGAAAUAUCAAGCCCUAUUAUUCUUCACCUUAUGUUGUUCUUCAACUUUACGAUUUUAAUAGUAUAUUAAAUUCUUAUCGAGUUUCUUUUGUGUGAGAAGUGGGAAUUGAUUGUUAUCACAAGCUUGGCACGCUUUUCUGUCAUCUUGAAAGAUUAAUCAGAAUAUUUGAUUAU
rnacentral:lncRNA from 1 species